CCAAUAGCGUAUAUUAAAGUUGUUGCAGUUAAAAAGCUCGUAGUUGAAUUUCAGGCCUGGCUGGACGGUCCGCCUUUUGGGUGAGUACUGUCUGUGGUCGGGUCCUACCUUCUGGCGAAGCGUCAUGGCCUUAACCGGCCGUGGCGGGGAACCAGGACUUUUACUGUGAAAAAAUUAGAGUGUUCAAAGCAUGCAGUCGCUUGAAUAACUUAGCAUGGUAUAAUGGAAUAGGACAAUGGUUCUAUUUGUUGGUUUCUAGGACCGUUGUAAUGAUUAAUAGGGAUAGUUGGGGGCAUUAGUAUUCAAUUGUCAGAGGUGAAAUUCUUGGAUUUAUUGAAGACUAACUACUGCGAAAGCAUUUGCCAAGGAUGUUUUCAUUAAUCAAGAACGAAAGUUAGGGGAUCGAAGACGAUCAGAUACCGUCGUAGUCUUAACCAUAAACUAUGCCGACUAGGAAUCGGGCGAUGUUGACAAAAUGACGCGCUCGGCACCUCAUG
rnacentral:rRNA from 1 species